GAUGAACGCUGGCGGCGUGCCUAAUACAUGCAAGUCGAGCGAACAGAUGAGGAGCUUGCUCCUCUGACGUUAGCGGCGGACGGGUGAGUAACACGUGGAUAACCUACCUAUAAGACUGGGAUAACUUCGGGAAACCGGAGCUAAUACCGGAUAAUAUAUUGAACCGCAUGGUUCAAUAGUGAAAGACGGUUUUGCUGUCACUUAUAGAUGGAUCCGCGCCGCAUUAGCUAGUUGGGAAGGUAACGGCUUACCAAGGCAACGAUGCGUAGCCGACCUGAGAGGGGGAUCGGCCACACUGGAACUGAGACACGGUCCAGAGUCCUACGGGAGGCAGCAGUAUGGAAUCUUCCGCAAUGGGCGAAAGCCUGACGGAGCAACGCCGCGUGGGUGAUGAAGGUCUUCGGAUCGUAAAACUCUGUUAUUAGGGAAGAACAAAUGUGUAAGUAACUAUGCACGUCUUGACGGUACCUAAUCAGAAAGCCACGGCUAACUACGUG
rnacentral:rRNA from 1 species